CAAUGGAUGUAGCUACUAUUAUACAGACCCAUCUCAUCCAUCAAGAAAAAUCAAUUCAGUUCCUUGGUCUUUAAUACGAAUGAAUAACCACAGAGAUUUACUCACAGAGGAGUAAGAGGAGAAUAACGAUUAAAAAACAAAAAUGGACCCUUUAGGAAACAAGAGAUAAUUAGGGAACAGAUGAGAACUCAGGGAGAAGGAAAACCUAAUUGAAAUCCUCAAGAACAUAAAAACACGGAAGGGAUGCUGUGAAUAAAAAAUAAAGAGGAAACAAAACACUCUUAGAAAUUAAGACUUUAAUUGUUAAACGUAAAACAAAGAAAUCAAUCGAUGGAGAAAAAGGCACAAAGUGAAGGAAAUCUCUCCAGAUGUUACAAGGAGGAGACAUGGACACGGGACGCGCGGGAGGAAAAGGCGGCGCGGAGACGGGACGCGCGGGAGGAAAAGGCUCCCAAGGAAGAUCUCUGGAAGAAAAGGGACUCCGUGCAAUACACGAUGUACCACAGAGAGGCUGGAUACAAUUGAUAAAGACAUUCAAGAAAAAGAGGCAAGUAGAAACCCCAGGAGAUGGAUUGGAAGGCAGACAAAAUCAAAAACAACAAAAGAUAAAGAAACUCCAGGAAAAACAAAGAGCUGUACAAUAAAUGUUACAAAUAUGAUGCAAAGUAAAACAUACCAUGAUUAUAAGAAACUGACAGUUAAAAAAAAAAAAAAGCAAGCAAGAAAGAAGCCUGGCCUUCAUGCUACGAUAACCUAACAAAAAUGCUCCGAUAAUAUGAACAGUCAAUUCAUAGGAAAAAAAAUACAAUGAUCAGUAAAUAUCUGGAAAGAUGCUAGACUUCAC
rnacentral:lncRNA from 1 species